CGUCAGAGAAAUUGACCGAUUUGGUGGCGGCAGCUUCAUGGUUUGGGGUUCUUUUUGUGCACAUGGACGUUCUCCUCUUGUUGUUGUCAAAAGGAAACUUAAAUGAUGUCCAGUACAGGGAUCAGAUUUUGCAACCUGUUCUUCUUCCGUUUAUGCAGAGACAUGGGCCUGGACUAACAUUUCAACAAGACAAUGCUCGAAUCCAUACAGAAUUUUUUAAGAAAUGCCGGUGUCCAAGUCCUGGAUUGGCCGUCGCUUAGCCCCGACCUUAAUCCUAUUGAACACGUCUGGGACGAACUGGGUCGACGUGUUCGUCAGCAAGUGAAUCCACCACUGACGUUGCAGGACCUUCAACAUGCUCUUGCUGAGCAGUGGCGUCGUCUUCCUCGGGUAGUGAUUACUAAUGUUCUGAGAUCCAUGAGAAGACGUUGUGUGGCAGUACGAGACAUUAGAGGAGGCCACAACUGUUACUAAACACUUUAUUCCGAUUGUUCUCCAAGUCUGGUUUUUCUAAGAUUUAUCAACAGUUUUUUCCAUAUGGUGAUCCAAGCAAAUUUGCUACGUUUGUUUUUAAUGUUUUUGAUGAAAAUAAGGAUGGAUAUAUAGAAUUUGGUGAAUUUCUACAAGCAUUAUCAGUUACAUCA